CAAGGUGGAGACAGUUACACUCCAUUGUUGUUUUAUUUUAUUUUUUCUUACGAAUUCUAUUAAGUACAAGAUUCAAAUUUAAGUGCUCUAUAUCCAAGAAACUUCCAAAUCAAAUGGAAGCUGUCAACUACUGCUCCAGUGCCAUGCCUGCCUGCCUGCUCUAUGCUGCCCACCCAGUGAGCAUGAAGCAAGUCCCCAGUUAACUCCUUUUUCUCCUAAGUUCCCUUGAUCAUUAAAUCUCUCUACAGCACAA